GAUGAACGCUGGCGGCGUGCCUAAUACAUGCAAGUCGAGCGAACGGACGAGAAGCUUGCUUCUCUGAUGUUAGCGGCGGACGGGUGAGUAACACGUGGAUAGCCUACCUAUAAGACUGGGAUAACUUCGGGAAACCGGAGCUAAUACCGGAUAAUAUUUUGAACCGCAUGGUUCAAAAGUGAAAGACGGUCUUGCUGUCACUUAUAGAUGGAUCCGCGCUGCAUUAGCUAGUUGGUAAGGUAACGGCUUACCAAGGCAACGAUGCAUAGCCGACCUGAGAGGGUGAUGGCCACACUGGAACUGAGACACGGUCCAGACUCCUACGGGAGGCAGCAGUAGGGAAUCUUCCGCAAUGGGCGAAAGCCUGACGGAGCAACGCCGCGUGAGUGAUGAAGGUCUUCGGAUCGUAAAACUCUGUUAUUAGGGAAGAACAUAUGUGUAAGUAACUGUGCACAUCUUGACGGUACCUAAUCAGAAAGCCACGGCUAACUACGUG
rnacentral:rRNA from 1 species